GACGAACGCUGGCGGCGUGCUUAACACAUGCAAGUCGAACGGAAAGGCCCUGCUUUUGUGGGGUGCUCGAGUGGCGAACGGGUUAGUAACACGUGAGUAACCUGCCCUUGACUUUGGGAUAACUUCAGGAAACUGGGGCUAAUACCGGAUAGGAGCUCCUGCUGCAUGGUGGGGGUUGGAAAGUUUCGGCGGUUGGGGAUGGACUCGCGGCUUAUCAGCUUGUUGGUGGGGUAGUGGCUUACCAAGGCUUUGACGGGUAGCCGGCCUGAGAGGGUGACCGGCCACAUUGGGACUGAGAUACGGCCCAGACUCCUACGGGAGGCAGCAGUGGGGAAUAUUGCACAAUGGGCGGAAGCCUGAUGCAGCAACGCCGCGUGCGGGAUGACGGCCUUCGGGUUGUAAACCGCUUUCGCCUGUGACGAAGCGUGAGUGACGGUAAUGGGUAAAGAAGCACCGGCUAACUACGU
rnacentral:rRNA from 1 species